rnacentral:rRNA from 1 species
CGAUAACGAACGAGACCUUAACCUGCUAACUAGUUGCAGGUACGUGAGUAUCUGCAUACUUCUUAGAGGGACUGACUACGCUUGGUAGUCGGAAGUUUGAGGCAAUAACAGGUCUGUGAUGCCCUUAGAUGUUCUGGGCUGCACGCGCGCUACACUGACAAAGCCAGCGAGUCUACCUUGGCCGAGAGGCCUGGGAAAUCUUGUGAAACUUUGUCGUGCUGGGGAUAGAUCAUUGCAAUUAUUGGUCUUGAACGAGGAAUUCCUAGUAAGCGCAUGUCAUUAGCAUGCGUUGAUUACGUCCCUGCCCUUUGUACACACCGCCCGUCGCUACUACCGAUUGAAUGG